rnacentral:lncRNA from 1 species
UAAUAAGAGUUCAACUGAAGAAUGUUCAGCCUUUUUUAAGUGUUUGUUCCUUAUAAAGGCCAAAGGGCUAUGAUGUAAUAACACCAAAACAAAGUAUGUCACAUCUGGUUUCACAUCUGGUUUCAUGUUAAAAAGGGUAGAACAAAAUAUUCAUUUGAAUUUUGACAGUUGUUGGAAAUUAAAUCUUCAUUUCAUUGCAGAAGUUUCAAUGCACUUUUUCUUUUUUAUUUAGUGUUCCUAUAAAUUGUUUUGGAAAUUUGAGGUGACAAGGUUACUCAAGAUUGUAAAAGAAUGAACAGUCACUUGGUUUACUUCUUUUAUUGUUUGUUU